rnacentral:rRNA from 1 species
GUCUACAGCCAUGCUACCCUGAACAAGCCCUAUCCUGUCUGAUCUCGGAAGCUAAGCAGGGUCGGGUCUGAUUAGUACUUGGAUGGAAGACCACCUAGGAAGAUCAGGUGCUGUAGGCU